rnacentral:rRNA from 1 species
CCUACGGGAGGCUGCAGUGAGGAAUAUUGGUCAAUGGGCGAGAGCCUGAACCAGCCAAGUCGCGUGAAGGAUGACGGCCCUACGGGUUGUAAACUUCUUUUGUCAGGGAGCAAUUUAGUCCACGUGUGGCCUUAGCGAGAGUACCUGAAGAAAAAGCAUCGGCUAACCCCGUGCCAGCAGCCGCGGUAAUACGGGGGAUGCGACCGUUAUCCGGUUUUAUUGGGUUAAAAGGGUGCGUAGGCGGAAUUUCAAGUCAGCGGUAAAAAUUCGGGGCUCAACCCCGUCGUGCCGUUGAAACUGGUGUUCUUGAGUGGGCGAGAGGUAUGCGGAAUGCGUGGUGUAGCGGUGAAAUGCAUAGAUAUCACGCAGAACUCCGAUUGCGAAGGCAGCAUACCGGCGCCCAACUGACGCUGAAGCACGAAAGCGUGGGUAUCGAACAGGAUUAGAUACCCUUGUAGUC